rnacentral:rRNA from 1 species
GGGGAACUGAAACAUCUAAGUACCCCGAGGAAAAGAAAUCAACCGAGAUUCCCCCAGUAGCGGCGAGCGAACGGGGAGCAGCCCAGAGCCUGAAUCAGUGUGUGUGUUAGUGGAAGCGUCUGGAAAGGCGCGCGAUACAGGGUGACAGCCCCGUACACAAAAAUGCACAUGCUGUGAGCUCGAUGAGUAGGGCGGGACACGUGGUAUCCUGUCUGAAUAUGGGGGGACCAUCCUCCAAGGCUAAAUACUCCUGACUGACCGAUAGUGAACCAGUACCGUGAGGGAAAGGCGAAAAGAACCCCGGCGAGGGGAGUGAAAAAGAACCUGA